rnacentral:rRNA from 1 species
CGGAGUGAGUAAUGUCUGGGAAACUGCCUGAUGGAGGGGGAUAACUACUGGAAACGGUAGCUAAUACCGCAUAAUGUCUGCGGACCAAAGCGGGGGACCUCCGGGCCUCGCGCCAUCAGAUGAACCCAUAUGGGAUUAGCUUGUAGGUAAGGUAACGGCUUACCUAGGCGACGAUCCCUAGCUGGUCUGAGAGGAUGAUCAGCCACACUGGGACUGAGACACGGCCCAG